rnacentral:lncRNA from 1 species
CUUCAGGGGAGUUUGGACACAGCUCCUCUGAGGAAGAGGAGAAUCUACCUGACCCAGGUGUGCCAAGCCUGCCUCCUUGUUUUGACUCUCAUCUUUUCCAAGACCUGAGAAUUCCUCAGAGUGGAGCAUAAUCUGGAUAUGCUACCCUUUUCUCACUCCUGACUCCAUACAGACUGCCCAUUUCUCUCCCUUCCUUCUAGGAAGUCUUCCCUGAUUACCCCACCAGCAUCUGCUCACUUCUCUGCACCAUCAGCAAUCAUCAUUCACAGGUUCCUGUUGCUCCUGCAUAUGGUUCUGGAAAUGUGGGUUCUAAGCCCACUGGACUGUGAUCACUUUCAUGGAGCAUCUCUUUGGAAUGUCCCCAACUUUUCACCAUCUGCACCAGCUGAGCCAACAUCUCUAGGAUAUGUGAGGUUGCAGGGGAGGUCCUGAAGUCCCCAAGACCAGUGUUGUGCUGAAUUGGAGGAGGCAGUAGAGGGGAAUCAUAUGGGGACUGGUCCAUGGCUUCCUUCCUAAGAUCAUGUGUAUUCCAUGGGGCAGGAUCCCAGCCAGCUUGCCCAGCUGCAUACUCAGCCGUUGGUAGAGGCUCUGGCACUCAGCAUCAACUGAGAGAUUGAGACACUUCAGCUCAUCCCACCACAACUAGCCAGGUGAGCUCCAAGCCCAACGGCUAGAGCUGCAAGAGGACCUGGGGUUGGAGAAUGUGAAGCAGGGAGAGUGGAAACUCCAGGGAAAAGAAAAGAAACUCCAGGGAAACUCCAGUAGCCUAAGGCCCUUCUGUUGUAAGGCUCUGGGUCAUUUCUAACAGCAUCGGCUUGUCAGAAAUGCAGACUCGGACCCAUUCCAGUCUUGCUAAUCUGAAUAUGCAUUUUAACAAGAUCGUCAAGUAAUUUGUGUGCACAUGGAAAUGUGAGAAGCACUGGUGCUAUGGCCUCAAUGUUUGUGUCCCACACC